rnacentral:lncRNA from 1 species
GCCGCAGCAUAGCAACCGAACAUGGCGGCUGCGCAGGCGCCGCCAGUCAGUGGCCAGGAGCGGCGGCGGCAGCAACAGGAGGCGAUCUCGCGAGAGGCGAGGCCAAAACCCUGCCUCGCUAGCGCAGGGAGAAGUCGCACCAGUCGGAGCGCAGAGGGACACGCAGACAUUUCAGCAGAGGCCUCAAAGGCAGAACAAAAUAGUGCAAGGAGCCGCACAUCCGCACAGUGCUGAGACCCUGCCCAGGACAAGCUUGACAAAAAAGAAGAAAAUUGGGUCUUGUUAUGUUGCCCAGGCUGGUCUCCAACUCCUGGCCUCAAGUGAUCCUCCCAGCUUGUCCUUCCAAAGUGUUGGGAUUAUAGGUGUGAGCCACUGUGCCUGGCCAUGUCUGAAUGUUGAAUGUUGACAGCUUCAGUGAAUUGACCCCUCUUUCACCUAUGGGACUUAUGAAGAGAGAAUCUUUCUGGCAUUGCAUAAUCCUUCCCAAGAGUACUUUAGCUGUGGUAACCCUUCUUGUUAUAAAACAUGCCAGGUAUGAUGAUGGAGAUCAGCUGAGCUGGACUUAGAAUCUUCUCUAAGAACAUUUACAGGCACUCAGUGUUAACAGCAGGGCAGAUGUAGGUUUCUGGGAACCUGAGGCUUAUAGGAACUGGAGUUCAUUGUAAGAAAAAGAAUAUCAAAUUAUGAAGACAAAAUUAGGCAUCAAUGUGAAUAUUAAUUUAGGAGAAAUCACAACAAAUCGCACAUCCUGAAAAGCUAACAAAUACUGCAUACAUCGCAGAAUCUAGAAGCAUAACAAUAUUUGUAUUGGUUAACUUGGACAUAUCACUAUAGUAUGCUUUUUUUCUACAUUUUGGGCUAUAUUUUUUUCCUAUUCUUUUUGGUUGAUGUCCUUGUAGUAGUGGCUACAUGUUAGUAGGCACUAACCCUAGUAGUAACUAAUCCUAGUAGUAGGGUUCAUGUUAUUGUUGUCGAUGUCUGUAUUUUGUGAUCAAAUCACCAAGACUGCAAAUCCUUCUUUCAACAUAUUCAUAUGAUUCACUCCCCUUCAUUAAAUUGGGUUAUUCAAACAAUUAUGCUCCAAAUUUAUCUCUUCCUCUUAAUCAAGUACUACUUUGGCAUGAUCUGAUUUUUAUAAUUAUUCUCUCUUCUCAUCUUUAUUAUUUAUAUUUUCUUAGCUAUUAUGAUUCUUCUUCUCAAUUUCAUGCUUUUGUCUAUCAGGCUUUUUAGCUUCUGUUGUGAUAGAACAAAAGAGUUUUUGACAUUUUGUAACUUCUUCCAGUCUUUUAUCUUUCAGUUUUUGUCUGAGACUUCUACUAGGAUGUUUUCUUCUCAACACGCUUGAUUUUUGUAUAGUUAAUAAUUUUGAAAUAAAGGCAUUCUCAAGAGCAGUUCAAAUGCACUUGAAAAUUGCUGAAAUGUAUUGAGUUGCAUAUUGCAUAAUCAAAUUACUUUUUUGCCACAUAGACUGAUCUAUUGGUGAGUAUGUGUAGGGGUUUCAUUACCCUGGAGUCCUUUUUCUUUGCUUUUUUUCCCCUUUCUUUCCAUUUCUGUGGCAAUUUGGUGAACAGUUUCAUCAGGAAGUGUGAGACUUCAUAAGGGCAAGAGGAUCAGAUAGAUACUCUAAGGGUGAUCCGUUCAGUUUGCACAAUAAAUCUGUGGAAGACA